CAUAGCGUAUAUUAAAGUUGUUGCGGUUAAAAAGCUCGUAGUUGGAUUUCUGUUGAGAGCGGCCGGUCCACCUUUUGGGUGAGUAUCUGGAUUGGUCUCGGCAUCCUCACAACGAAUGUUUCUGCGCUUGAUUGCGUGGUAUAGGCGUUGUGACUUUUACUUUGAGGAAAUUAGAGUGUUCACGGCAGGCAUACGCCUUGAAUAUAUUAGCAUGGAAUAAUACUAUAGGAUUUUGGUUCUAUUUUGUUGGUUUCUAGAGCUGAAAUAAUGAUUAAUAGGGACAAUUGGGGGCAUUCGUAUUGACGAGUCAGAGGUGAAAUUCUUGGAUUUCGUCACGACGAACUACUGCGAAAGCAUUUGCCAAGGAUGUUUUCAUUGAUCAAGAACGAAAGUAAGGGGAUCGAAGAUGAUUAGAUACCGUCGUAGUCUUUACCAUAAACUAUGCCAACUAGGGAUCCGCUCUCGUUCUACUAUGACUGAGUGGGCACCUUAUGAGAAAUCAAAGUCUUUGGGUUCCGGGGGGAGUAUGGUCGCAAGGCUGAAACUUAAA
rnacentral:rRNA from 1 species